rnacentral:lncRNA from 1 species
AGUUCUUUGGGAGCACCCUGGGAAACAGUGUGGCUAUGACUUGGAGCUGCUCACCAGUUCCAGUCAUUCUGUGGUUGAGAGCUGCUCCCUAUGGAUGUUAAUUCUUCUCUAUUUUAGAUUUUCCACAGGUGUGGGCCCCAUUAGCUCUGGCCACCUGAGAAAGCCCUCAGGCAAAGAGUCGCAGGUGAAAGCCAGCAGUUAGAGGUUCACAGAAAUGAGUGCAGAAGCAUCUUCAGUUGGAGAGCCAUUGCCUCUUGCUGUGAAAUAUUUGGGAAUCUUCAGAAACCAUGAAGAAUAACCUGCUAAAGGCAUCUCUAUUUUCCACAAAGCAAUAUUGAAGUUAGGCCAAUUAAUAACCCUACAAUGGCUUCUAAGUGUUUGAGGGAAAGGAAGAGUUUCAUGUCUCUCACUUGGAAUCAAAAGCUAGAAAUGAUGAAGCUUAGAGAGAAAGGCAUGUCAAAAGCCACCAUGAGCUGAAACCUGGGUCUUUUGUGCCUAACAGCCAAGUUGUGAAUGCAAAGGAAAGGUUCUUGGGAGAAAUUGAAAAUGUUAUUUGUGUGUUCACAAAUGAUAAGAAUGAGAGCAAAACAACCUUAUUUCUGAUAUGGAGAAAGUCCACGUGAUCAGGAUAGAAGGUCAAACCAGCCAUAACAUUCACUUAAGCCAAAGUCUAAUCCAGGGCAAGAACCUAACUCUUUAAGUCUGUGAAGAGUGAGAGAGGUGAGGAAGCUGCAAAGAAAAGUUUAAAGCUAGCAGAGCUUGGUUCAUGAGGUUUAAGGAAAAAAGCCAUCUCCAUAACAUAAAAGUGCAAGGUUAGGCCAUAAGUGCUGAUAGGGAAGUUGCAGUAAGUUAUCCAGAAGAUCUACCUACAAUCAUUAAUGAACAUGACUAUGCUAAACAAUAGAUUUUUUAUGUAGAUGAAACAGCCUUAUCCUGUAUUAGAAGAAGAAGCCAUAUAAAACUCCCAUAGCGAGUCAGGUGCGUUGGAUCACACCUAUAAUCCCAGCACUUUGGGAGGCUAAGGCAGGAGGAUCACUUGAGCCCAGGAGUUGAGGACCAGUCUGGGCAACAUGGCAAAACCCAGUCUCUACCAAAAAUAUAAAAAUUAGCCAGGUGUAGGGGCAUGUGCCUGUAAUCCCAGCUACUUGAGACUUGCGAGGCUGAGGUAGGAGACUCGCUUGAACCCAGGAGAUCAAGGCUACAGUGAGCCAUGAUCAUGCCACUGCUUUCCAGCCUGGGUGGAAGAGCAAGACUGUCUCAAAAAAAGAACAACAACAACAACAAACCCCCCCAAAACAAAAAGCUCUCAUAGCUAAAGAGGAAAA